GGACUUCUUCUCUGGAAUGAGAUGAGGCUUAGUUGGACUAAAAGCAAAAGGACUGGGAACCAAAGUAAAAAACAAGAACCUCUUAGAAGGUGGGGUGCAACUUAUGGAAGUUUGCUUGAGAUGAACAAAAGAUACCACAAGCCAGUCCCCCUUUCAGAAAUGGUUGAGAUUUUGGCGGACAUAUGGGAGCAAGAGGGUUUGUUUGAUUGAGGAUGCUGGAUUCGUCUAUUUAUCUUAAAGUCUUGAAGGAUUCCAAAGUUCUGAGUAAACAUAUACACAAGUUACAAACAUGAUCAUACUUUUUUACAGUAGAAUUUUUAACGCUAUUCUGCAGAUAUAUUUACCAUAUCAUUUAGUAGAACUACAGAAAUUCUGUUAAACCACGGAUCGUGUUCUCUUAAUCAAAUGUUAAACUCUAGAUGUUAAAAUUAGGGAUGCCCAGAAGAGAUUCUUGGUUUGUCUUAAAUGUACAUGACCCCGAGGUCCCAAUUCGGAGAUAAAAAAAAUGAUGCAUGUACUUUAUAUA